GGGGAUGUAUAGUUUCGACAGGAUUUGCUCUUUGACAAACUGCAAGCCGAAUACGAUUCUAAAGUGCGUCAAACUUUGAAUCAAAUUACGUGCAAAGAACAAACUUGCACAACUGGGCGAGUUCCUUUUUGGAACUUCUCCAGUAGCUCCAGCAUUUGCCUAAAAACAAAUCUUGAGCUUGUCUUUUUAGUUUUCUCUCGGUGAAACUUUAAAGGCAACAACUUAGCCGGGAUUGGACUUCAGUUUUGAUCAAACUUCAGUCCGAAAUUUCGAUCUUUGUUUAGGUUUUGCCUGCUAAUCGGCUAAAAAUCUAAACGAGAACUUGUAGAUUCCCGCCAUAGGCGGGUCAGCCUUUGGCUGAAGCUAAGCUUGUAGGAGUUUUUAAAUUGUAGUCUUGGACCCGGGCUCAACACCCGGCAUCUCCACAC
rnacentral:tmRNA from 1 species